GAUGAACGCUGGCGGCGUGCCUAAUACAUGCAAGUCGAGCGAACAGACGAGGAGCUCGCUCCUCUGACGUUAGCGGCGGACGGGUGAGUAACACGUGGAUAACCUACCUAUAAGACUGGGAUAACUUCGGGAAACCGGAGCCAAUACCGGAUAAUAUAUUGAACCGCAUGGUUCAAUAGUGAAAGACGGUUUUGCUGUCACUUAUAGAUGGAUCCGCGCCGCAUUAGCUAGUUGGUAAGGUAACGGCUUACCAAGGCGACGAUGCGUAGCCGACCUGAGAGGAUGAUCAGCCACACUGGAACUGAGACACGGUCCAGACUCCUACGGGAGGCAGCAGUAGGGAAUCUUCCACAAUGGGCGAAAGCCUGACGGAGCAACGCCGCGUGAGUGAUGAAGGUCUUCGGAUCGUAAAGCUCUGUUAUUAGGGAAGAACAAAUGUGUAAGUAACUAUGCACGUCUUGACGGUACCUAAUCAGAAAGCCACGGCUGACUACGUG
rnacentral:rRNA from 1 species